rnacentral:rRNA from 1 species
GAUGAACGCUGGCGGCGUGCCUAAUACAUGCAAGUCGAGCGAACGGACGAGAAGCUUGCUUCUCUGAUGUUAGCGGCGGACGGGUGAGUAACACGUGGAUAACCUACCUAUAAGACUGGGAUAACUUCGGGAAACCGGAGCUAAUACCGGAUAAUAUUUUGAACCGCAUGGUUCAAAAGUGAAAGACGGUCUUGCUGUCACUUAUAGAUGGAUCCGCGCUGCAUUAGCUAGUUGGUAAGGUAACGGCUUACCAAGGCAACGAUGCAUAGCCGACCUGAGAGGGUGAUCGGCCACACUGGAACUGAGACACGGUCCAGACUCCUACGAGAGGCAGCAGUAGGGAAUCUUACGCAAUGGGCGAAAGCCUGACGGAGCAACGCCGCGUGAGUGAUGAAGGUCUUCGGAUCGUAAAACUCUGUUAUUAGGGAAGAACAUAUGUGUAAGUAACUGUGCACAUCGUGACGGUACCUAAUCAGAAAGCCACGGCUAACUACGUG